UCUUAACCAAGAAGGGUGUUCUUGGCAGUUCAAUCCCCCGCACGCCUCGCACAUGGGUGGUUCUUGGGAACGCCUGAUCGGUUUGGCCCGAAGAAUUCUUGAUUCAAUGCUUCUUGAACAGCACACUCGCUUAACCCACGAUGUCCUGUGUACACUAAUGGCAGAAGUCACAGCAAUCCUAAACGCGAGGCCACUAAUCCCAGUUUCAAACGAUCCCGAGGAUCCAUUGAUCUUGUCGCCAUCAAUGCUCCUAACUCAGAAAGGGGGAGUCCCUUCCCCACCCGGGGAUUUCACAGACAAAGACCUCCUCACCAAGCAAUGGAGACAAGUUCAAGCGCUGGCCAACAGGUUCUGGAAUCGUUGGAGUCGUGAGUACUUGCCCACCUUGCUUUGCAGGAAGAAAUGGCACAAGUCUUACCGAAACCUUCAGGAGGGAGACAUUGUCCUUCUUAAAGACACUCAAGUAGCCCGUAACCACUGGCCAACGGCUAUAAUCACAAAGACCUUUCCUGGAAAAGAUGGGAGAGUGAGGAAAGUGGAACUAAGGACCACAGUUCAGGGAUCUUCAAAGACUUUCCUCAGGCCAGUCUCCGAGGUGAUCUUACUUUUAGUUAAGGACUGAUGUACUGAAACUCAUUUCCUAGUUUAGUAGUACUAGUGACCUCACUGAGGCCAGGCGGGGAGUGUGUUGCCUUUUAGGCAUUAGGCUUUUAUUUUGUACAAGCUUUUAUUUUGAAAUGGUUUCCUGCCUUAGGAGUUCCAGGCGUUAGUUUCCUGUUAGUGGUUAGAGGAAAAUGGUGGAAUCCAUCAACAUGCUUUCGUCAUCCAUUGCAAUCCACAUCGUAAAUGCUGCAGAGGCAAUGUCUUUUCACUCUUCUGUCUGUGACAUGAUAUAAAGAGCCACAGUAAACAGCUUGAGAAGCUUA